UUUGCCAAGUGAGAACUGAAAGCAACAAAGUAACAAAGCAAAGUAAAACCGGAGAUGUAAACGAUGGAUGUGAAUAGACCCGGGGGCCCUAGUGUUUACUAGUGGCUUCUCUCAUGAAAGCAAGUAGACGGUGGGUGAACAAAUUACUGUCGAGCAAUUGAUACAACUGUGCAGAGUCGUGACGAUAUCUAUGCAAUGAUUAUUU
rnacentral:lncRNA from 1 species